rnacentral:rRNA from 1 species
GCGGUCCUCCCAACCCCUGUGAACAUACCACUUGUUGCCUCGGCGGAUCAGCCCGCUCCCGGUAAAACGGGACGGCCCGCCAGAGGACCCCUAAACUCUGUUUCUAUAUGUAACUUCUGAGUAAAACCAUAAAUAAAUCAAAACUUUCAACAACGGAUCUCUUGGUUCUGGCAUCGAUGAAGAACGCAGCAAAAUGCGAUAAGUAAUGUGAAUUGCAGAAUUCAGUGAAUCAUCGAAUCUUUGAACGCACAUUGCGCCCGCCAGUAUUCUGGCGGGCAUGCCUGUUCGAGCGUCAUUUCAACCCUCAAGCACAGCUUGGUGUUGGGACUCGCGUUAAUUCGCGUUCCUCAAAUUGAUUGGCGGUCACGUCGAGCUUCCAUAGCGUAGUAGUAAAACCCUCGUUACUGGUAAUCGUCGCGGCCACGCCGUUAAACCCCAACUUCUGAAUGUUGACCUCGGAUCAGGUAGGAAUACCCGCUGAACUUAAGCAUAUCAAA